AUGCCUUAAACUGAUGAGUGAGAAAAAUAACGGUGCGGGGCGAUGCUUGUGUCCCCGUGCCUACUCACGAUCCGUAUUUUUGAAGGGGUACAGGUCUAUUCUGAUCUGUUUACUUUGCAGACUGUCUCGCGGGUCAAAGAUCUGCCCU